CGGCGGACGAGCCACGGUUGCGCCUGCUGCACGCCGAGCUGCCGGUGUCGGUGGACGCCGAGGCGGCGUUCGAGACGCUGUUCGCCGGC
rnacentral:tRNA from 1 species